GUGGUGAAUAUGACAACUGAUUCAACCAAGAAGCACUGAAAAAGGUGCGCAGAAUUAAGAAACUUCCAUGGUCGUUUAUUCAUGACAAGACAUAUGCACAUAUAAAGCACCUUUUCAUAAGACAUGUCUUCAAGUGAUGACAAAAUGUAUCAAAAGCAGACCUAAGUUAGCUGUACUCCUCAUGAGAGCAAUGCUAUUCAUUCUUGCAAUAAAGAUCACAAGAGUUAGAGGGCAAUGCACAGGGUGCAGUAGAAGCAUCUGGGACAAUGCAGAAUCGGCUGCCAUCUGACUCAGAUGAGCCAACUGCAGACAGGAGUGCAGAACGCAUACUUGAACCACCAGCAAGGAGGGAAGUGCAGAGGCAGGAUGCAGCGAUGGACAUCUGCCCAGAUGUGGAGGUGGCAUCAAUGAGCCAUGACAUAGUCUUGCCUCAGGGGUCAGGGUGUGAAGACAAUGUUUCAUCACUGGCUUGCAGGAACAGAUGCAGUUCCUUCCAUAUUUGGCAUUUCAGUUCCCCAAUCCUUGACUGUUAAGCCAUGCUGGCUGAUCAUCUUCAAUGUGGAAGUCCAAAACAUGUGGAAGACCAACACUGGUGAACCACCAAAGCAGAAUACCCCAAACUUUCUACAGCUUUGGAAGGAAAAUCAAUAUUGGUACUGGAGGACAAGCAGCCUUUCGGGAAAGCUUUUCUGCUGUUGAUCCCAUUGAAAAGCUUCUGAUUAGCUCCUGAGGAGACCCUGUUGUUGUUUUUUAAAUUCUAUUCUAAACCUGUGCCCACCAACCAAUGUGAUUUUUUUAAAAGAAAGAAUGCAAUGCCCAUGCCAAAUAUUAGAUCAUGCAUUAAGCAAAAUAAAGGAAAAUGAGGGCUUGAACA
rnacentral:lncRNA from 1 species